CGCCAUCAUGGCCGAGACGGUGAAGGCCAGCGCCUUGUAAUGGUGCGGGCGGUAGCCGAGGAAGCGGGUGCGCGGCUCGGCAUCGCGGAUGGCAAC
rnacentral:tRNA from 1 species